rnacentral:lncRNA from 1 species
CAUUUUGAAAUAAGAACGACAAUUGGGAACGCUAUUUUUAUCUUUUGCCCUAAAAAUUUUAUCCUCCAAAUUCGACACCUCAAUCCCACAAUUCGGCACCUCAAUCCCAAGAUGUCUCACCACGAUAUCAACUCCUUAUCCACGAACUCUUCUGCCCAAGAUUCCAGCAACGUGAUUUCACAUUUUUAUCAAAUCAGUUCUAUUUUUAUAGUAUAUAGUUUUGUUCUUUCUCCAUCGCGUGCAUAUCAAACAACAAUUCUAGACUACAGAAGGUAAUUUGUAUGAUUUGUAUUUCAUGAACAAUCUUUUUUCCAUGAUGGAAUGGUAUUCCUUUCAUAGAUAUUUUUGUGCAGUUUUAGUUUCUACUUAUAUUUACAAAUUCCUCUGUCUAUUUCAGGAUAUAAUGGCGGU